rnacentral:misc_RNA from 1 species
ACGGCAUCCAGCCAGUCUUGUCAGGUGUUGCUGUUGGUUGUGGAUGGCAAGCUUUCGUUGCAUAUGUUAAUGUUGGUUGUUACUAUGUUAUCGGUGUCCCAGUUGGUGCAAUACUAGGCUUCAAAUUCAAUUUAGGAGCAAAGGGAAUCUGGAGUGGAAUGAUAGGAGGAACAGUUUUGCAGACAAUAAUUUUGGUGUGGGUUACGAUCCGCACUGACUGGAAUAAAGAGGUCCAAACAGCCCAG